AUUGAACGCUGGCGGCAGGCCUAACACAUGCAAGUCGAACGGUAACAGGAAGAAGCUUGCUUCUUUGCUGACGAGUGGCGGACGGGUGAGUAAUGUCUGGGAAACUGCCUGAUGGAGGGGGAUAACUACUGGAAACGGUAGCUAAUACCGCAUAACGUCGCAAGACCAAAGAGGGGGACCUUCGGGCCUCUUGCCAGCGGAUGUGCCCCUACCGGAUUAGCUAGUAGGUGGGGUAACGGCUCACCUAGGCGACGAUCCCUAGCUGGUCUGAGAGGAUGACCAGCCACACUGGAACUGAGACACGGUCCAGACGCCUACGAGAGGCAGCAGUGGGGAAUAUUGCACAAUGGGCGCAAGCCUGAUGCAGCCAUGCCGCGUGUAUGAAGAAGCAGGGCGGGUUGUAAAGUACUUUCAGCGGGGAGGAAGGGAGUAAAGUUAAUACCUUUGCUACUUGACGUUACCCGCAGAAGAAGCACCGGCUAACUCCGUG
rnacentral:rRNA from 1 species